AAAGCCUUAGCUUAAGUAAAGCGUUUGGGUUGCAUCCAGAAUAUGUGGUUAAAGUUCCACAGGUUUUA
rnacentral:tRNA from 1 species